CAUGUCUUUUUGAUUAUAAUUUAAGGUUUAAUCUGCUCAAUGAUUAUUUAAAUUGCCGCAGUAUUUUGACUGUGCAAAGGUAGCAUAAUAAUUAGUUUCUUUAUUGGGAACUGGAAUGAAUGAUUGGACGAGAAAAUUUCUGUCUCUUUAUUAUUUUAAUUGAAUUUUACUUUUAAGUUAAAAGGCUUAAAUUUUAUUAGAGGACGAGAAGACCCUAUAGAGUUUAAUUUUUAUUUAAAUAAUUAUUUUUAGUAUUUAUAUAUAUUAUUUAAAUAAAAAUUUAGUUGGGGUGACUAAAAGAUAAGAAUAACUCUUUUAAUUUUUAUCAAUUAUUUUUGAUUAUAAAAUCUUUAUUUUUAAUUUUAAAAUAAAUUACCUUAGGGAUAACAGCGUAAUUCUUUUUUAAAGUUCUUAUUAAAAGAAGAGUUUGCGACCUCGAUGUUGGAUUAAAAUUAAUUUUAGGUGUAGAAGCUUGAAAAUUAAGUCUGUUCGACUUUUAAAAUUUUACAUGAUCUGAGUUUAAACCGGUGUGAGCCAGGUUGGUUUCUAUCCUUAAUUAUAUAUUAUACUU
rnacentral:rRNA from 1 species